rnacentral:rRNA from 1 species
AAGGGAGAGUAACGGGUGGUUACUUACCCUCAGGACCGGAAUAGUGUCGGGAAACUGACAGUAAUGCCGGAUAAUAUCUUUGGAUCAAAGGUGUGAUUCCGCCUGGGGAUAGGACCGCUUUCUAUUAGCUUGUUGGCGGGGUAAUGGCCCACCAAGGCUGAGAUGGAUACCGGGUGUGAGAGCAUGGCCCGGCUCACUGGGACUGAGACACUGCCCAGACACCUACGGGUGGCUGCAGUCGAGGAUCUUCGGCAAUGGGCGAAAGCCUGACCGAGCGACGCCGCGUGCGGGAUGAAGGCCUUCGGGUUGUAAACCGCUGUCAGUUGGGAGGAAGGUGCUGUGAAGAGCAGCAUUUGACCGAUCUUCAGAGGAAGGACGGGCUAAGUUCGUGCCAGCAGCCGCGGUAAGACGAACCGUCCGAACGUUAUUCGGUAUCACUGGGCUUAAAGAGUUCGUAGGCGGCCUAGCAGGUGAGGUGUGAAAUCCAACGGCUCAACCGUUGAAUUGCGCUUCAAACCACUAGGCUCGAGGAUGGCAGGGGUGUUGGGAACAGAUGGUGGAGCGGUGAAAUGCGUUGA